GAUGAACGCUGGCGGCGUGCCUAAUACAUGCAAGUCGAGCGAACAGACGAGGAGCUUGCUCCUCUGACGUUAGCGGCGGACGGGUGAGUAACACGUGGAUAACCUACCUAUAAGACUGGGAUAACUUCGGGAAACCGGAGCUAAUACCGGAUAAUAUAUUGAACCGCAUGGUUCAAUAGUGAAAGACGGUUUUGCUGUCACUUAUAGAUGGAUCCGCGCCGCAUUAGCUAGUUGGUAAGGUAACGGCUUACCAAGGCAACGAUGCGUAGCCGACCUGAGAGGGUGAUCGGCCACACUGGAACUGAAACACGGUCCAGAAUCCUACGGGAGGCAGCAGUAGGGAAUCUUCCGCAAUGGGGGAAAGCCUGACGGAGCAACGCCGCGUGAGUGAUGAAGGUCUUCGGAUCGUAAAACUCUGUUAUUAGGGAAGAACAAAUGUGUAAGUAACUAUGCACGUCUUGACGGUACCUAAUCAGAAAGCCACGGCUAACUACGUG
rnacentral:rRNA from 1 species